AGAUUAUGUAGUUAUAAAAUAUUUCAUUUUUAAGGAAAGUGUUCCAUUUUUCUUGGUAGCAGAAAAUGAGAGCAUUCAGACAAAUAAGAAAUAUUGAUAUGCAGCAGAUGCAAAUCCAAGUGUCCGAAUGAAACAUCAAAUUUUAAGUAGAUGUGAAGAGAGAACAUUCAGGAUGAAUAAUACAAAUCCCACUUAUAAAAUGCAAAAUUCUGGAGCUCUGAUAAUUUCCUAUAUAGAAGUGUCAGUGAAAUGUGAAUUAAAAACAGGAACAAGACUUAGGUUCUGUUGGGGACAUUCUAGUUAAUCUUACCUGCAAUCCUUUUGGGAAAUUGACAGAAGAAAGCAAUGAAUAAAUAAAUAAAUAAAAUUUAAAUACUGAGUUGAGCUAAUCAGGUCAACAGAAAAGUCAGAACAAAAGCAAAUUCCCGCAUGUGGCCAAAUGAUGUGUAUACAAGGCACCAGGUGGCUCUGAUCCAUCACAUGUAGAAGACCAUGUGUCUAAUAUUAUAGUGUCCUCAUUUAUUAUCACGAACAGAUCAAUUUACCAUAAGAUGAUAACAUUUCUGUGACCUGUUGCUUUUAUGUGGUGUUAAGUGUCAAUCCCUUCUAUGUGAUUGAUAUCACUAAGCAGAAAACAGUGUAAAUUCAUAAUCUCUUAGCAAUACUGCUGUGUACCCUACCGUUAUACACACUGUCACACACACACACACACAUACAUACACACACAUACCUAUAUUCUUAAAGUAAACAUUUUAAGUUUUAUAAAUCAUUUCACAUGCAUUCUGUUUUCUACAGAAAAGUGAUUCUACUCUGUGGCUUCCUGAGUUAAGCAUUUCAUGAAUGAAGACUUUGAUUUCCGUUUUAGGGAGGUACCCUGCCCCCUGCCCUCAGGAACUGAUAUGCACGGUAUAUGCUAUUACUUCUGACAAAAGAUAGCAAAAGAAUGAGAUGAACUGAAGAACACUUAUAAAAACAAAUGAAGGCUGUAGCUUAGUGGUAGAGCACUUACCUAGCAUGUAGGAAGCACUGGGUUUGAUUCUCAGCACAGCAUAUAAAUAAAUGAAUAAAAUAAAGGUCUAUCAACAACUAAUAUAUAUAUAUAUAUAUUUAUAAUUUUUAAUAAAUAUAUAUGUCCUGCUGAAAAUGAGACAUCCAAUAUAGUGGAGCAGAGCCCAUCCUCAUUAGAAUUUUUAGAUAUUAGUCUGCAUUCUGUUAGUUGGUUCCACAUGACACUUCACCCUUUGCCACACUCUACCUUGUCUUUCAGUUAUCCUUUUGGGCUAAUGCCUUCCAUGCACUUCCAUUCCAAAAAUUCUCAUUUCUUAAACAAUGAUGGCAUUGCAUAUUUGUAUGAAAAUCACUGCUCCAAAUGUUAGAUAUGACAACAUCUGAAAUUACUGCAACUGCUUCUAAAGCAAUCACAGGGGAACCGAAGAGUAAAAUAUCUUAAUUAAAAAAAAAAAGGAAAACACAAAAAGUUUGCAUGUUGCCACAAUUGUGAAUUGUCAGACACAGAUGUAUUUUAUACUUCUGCAUUAAUUUGUCUGAAAAUAGAAGAAUGUGGUGCUAGGGAUAAUGUCUUGAGAAAGAAGUUAUGGCCUUUUACCAGAGAAAUUAAAAGUAGGGAGAAAACAGUUAAUAAUGUUUUUUUUUUAAAGAAAAUAAAGAACAUCCCUGUACACACUAUUUCUUUAGUACCUUUAGACCCAAUCCAUUAGCAAAUUCUGUUAAGUCAAGUUAUCCAUGCAUUUAGUAAUUGAUCACUUUAUAUCAUUUCUGACAUAACUAUAGUGCUGUAAGGGUAAUUUCACUUUGAUUUCAUCAAUAUCUUCAAAAAUUAAUUGCCCUUACAAUAUAAUCUAAUGAAUAGCAAGAAAGAUCCUUUUAAAAUGCUAAGUCAUGCUAAGAAUUUUCUAAUUGUUUAGAGGCUCAAAUAUAAAUACAGCUUCGAAGAUUUGGGUUUUUUUCAAUGAUACUCCAACUGUUUGAAUUUACGUCCACCUCACUCUUCUUUAUUCACUAAGCUUCUCAUCAGGGAUGCAUUAUGGUUUUAUAGUCAUAGAAAUGAUUGUCUUCCUAUGAGUGCUUUGCAAUUUAAAAAAAUUUUAAAUUUUUAUGACUUUUUAUUGGUUAAAAAAGGCUAAAUUUCCUUUAUUCCUUGUUUCCUCAUUUAUCUUCUUUACUCUGAACGCUUUUGAUUUAACAUUUGGAAAGAAUAUAACAUUUUAUUUACUUAUUUACUUCGCUAUUGAUUGUGUCCCCAAACAAGAAUGAAUGCUAUAUGAAAGAAGGAAUAUUGUAUAUUUUGUUUGUUGUUUUCUAUCAAGCUCCUAGAAGUGUAGCUAAAAGAAAGCCUAGUGUGUCAUAAGUUCUUUUUUUUAAAAUUUAUUCUGAUUUAUUAUACAUGAUGGCAGAAUGCAAUUUGUUUUAUAUUAUACACAUAAAGCACAAUUUUUCAAGACACUGAUAGUAUACAGAAUAUUUUCACACCAUUCAUGUCUUAUACAUGUACUUAGGGUAAUGAUGUCUAACUCAUUCCACCAUCAUUCCUACCUCCUUCCCUCUCCUUUGUACUCCUCCCCUUUGCCCUAUCUAAAGUUCCUAUGCUCCCCCACCAAUCACCAUUAAGCCUCUGCAUUCUCAAAACAAAGAAAACAUUGGGCUUUUGGGUUUUUGGGAUUGGCUUGCUUCACUUAGCAUUAUAUUCUCCAACUCCAUCCAUUUACAUGCAAAUGCCAUGAAUAAGAGCAAGCUAACUUCUUAAAAAUUCUAAACAAGUGCUUAUAUACAAACUAGCAAUUGCAUUCUUAGGCAUUUUUGUAAAUAAAAUUAUCUUCUUAAUUUUAUUUAUGCUAGUGUAUAGAAAUGCAAUUGAUGUUUUUGUAUUGAUAUGCAUACAUUAACUUUGCUGAAAUAAUUUUUAAAUCUUUUUUUUAGGAAUUUCUAUCCAUGAGAUCAGUGCAUUUGCAAAUAGAAAUCAUUUUAAUUUUUUGUUUCUAAUCUGGGUGACUUUUUUUUUCUUACUCAAUAUACUCUGCCCAGCAUUUCCAGUUGAAUCUGUGUGAUAUGAAUGGAUAUUCUUGUCCUAGUUCUUAGAUAGAAAAUAUUUUCAGACCUUUGACCCUUAGCAAGCUGCAGACUUUUCAUUAAUGUUAUUUAUCAUAUUGAGGAAGUUCCCUACUAUUCCAAGUUUGUUGAAUGUUUUUAUCACUAAAAAGUGUGAGUUUGACAACUGUUUUCUUCUGAGUCUGUUUAUAUAACAGUGCAGAUUUUGUCCUUAGUUUGCUGCAUUACAUUAAUUGAUUUUAAUAUGUUAAAACAACUUUGAAUUUUUGGUAAAAAUUCCAUUUGGUUGGAGUGUAUAAGCUUUUUAUGUUUUUAGAUAUGGUUUCUUAGUUUGAUGUUGAGAAUUUUUUUGUGUUAAGCAUUUCUAUUUGUAGUUUUUUUUGUUUUGUUUUGUUUUGUUUUUCCUUAUGCUAUCUUUGAUUUUGGUGUGGAAAUAUUGUGACCUCAUGGAAUUCAAGUGCAAAUGUCCCUUUUUCUAUUUUAUGGAAAAGUUUGAAAAGGUUUGUUAUCAAUUCCUCUUAAAAUGUGUGACAGAGUUUACCAAUGAAGCUAUUUGUGCUUGAAUUUUUAUUUAUUG
rnacentral:tRNA from 1 species